GAUGAACGCUGGCGGCGUGCUUAACACAUGCAAGUCGAACGAGAAAUGGAGACGGAAACCUUCGGGCGGAAGGCUUCAUUUCGAGUGGCGGACGGGUGAGUAACGCGUGGGUAACCUGCCUCAUACAGGGGGAUAACAGUUGGAAACGACUGUUAAUACCGCAUAAGACCACAGCACCGCAUGGUGCGGGGGUAAAAACUCCGGUGGUAUGAGAUGGACCCGCGUUCGAUUAGCCAGUUGGCGGGGUAACGGCCCACCAAAGCGACGAUCGAUAGCCGAGCUGAGAGGAUGACCGGCCACAUUGGGACUGAGACACGGCCCAAACUCCUACGGGAGGCAGCAGUGGGGAAUAUUGCACAAUGGGGGAAACCCUGAUGCAGCGACGCCGCGUGAGUGAAGAAGUACUUCGGUAUGUAAAGCUCUAUCAGCAGGGAAGAAAAUGACGGUACCUGAGUAAGAAGCCCCGGCUAACUACGUG
rnacentral:rRNA from 1 species